rnacentral:lncRNA from 1 species
CUCACCCAGCCCAGCUGGGACCCAGCGCAUGGAAGAAGCCAGCAGGGACUGGCGGAUGAUCCAUGGAGUCCCAGGGCAGACUCUAGCUCAGCUGGGGAAUCCUGCAGUCAAGUCUGGACUGAGCAGUUUGCAUUUAAAAGACCUUGUUUUCCCCAGAACCUAAGGCUCAGGGAAACAGACUGGAUUGAACACCUAGGUUUCUCACCAGCUGUGCCAGCGUGGAGAUGUGGAGCUCCGGUUGGCCACCCUGCAGGAGGUUUUGGCCUCAGGAAUUUCAGCAGGAAGGUGCAGCCGCAGCAAGAAAUGCCAUUUGCUCCAGGCUUCCUUCUGCCCACUGGCUCCUCCUCCGCAUCUCUAAGCCCUGAGUGCCCAGGGCUCAGUCGGGACCUCUUCUCUCUGUCUACGCUUGGUUCGGCAGGAAGAAGAGAAUGCUCUCGCCUUCGUCUGGACCUGUAAGCCUUGCUUCAGAGGCUACCUUCUCACAGACCCUCCCAGAUCCCCACUGCAUGGGCACUGAGAGUUUGCACCUGUCUCAUAAGCUCCAGCUGGCCCCGAGCCUGGCUCUCUGCAGCCCCUGUCUUCCCACGAUCUGACUGAGAGUCCACAGGGCCUUCUUGGCGUUGAAAACACGAGGACGUCCCGCCGGGCGUGAAAUCAACGCAGCCAGAACCUCCUGUGAAUUUCAAGGGCUGCGCACUGGGAGCCCUGGACCGUCGCUCUGGCCCCA